rnacentral:tRNA from 1 species
GGACAGAUGCAGGAGUGGUUGAACUGGCUUGUCUCGAAAACAAGUGUGCCUUCAUUGGUACCGAGGGUUCGAAUCCCUCUCUGUCCGCCA